CCCGAACUAGCUCACUGGUAGAGCACGAGAAUCCAAUCUCGGUGUCGAAGGUUCGAUUCCUUCGUUCGCUG
rnacentral:tRNA from 4 species